UCAUAAUUUGUGACCGUGGUUUUCUUUUUGGAAACCUUUUCAAUUCGUGGAAGAGAUUCACCCUUACUUUGGGUGUUGUAUUAUAUUUUUCAGCAAUUGAUUGGAUGCAUCUUAGAGGAUGUGAAAUUUGUAAAGCCCUAAUCAUAGCAUUCUGAUGACAGAUUUCUUAGGCAAUAUGCUCAGCUGGUUGGUUUGUUGACUUCAAAGUCAGUACUAAGGAGUUGAUUAUCCGGGGAAAAAUGCACAGCCUUCUGCUUUGAGAAUGACAUCAGACAAAUGAGGUCUAUUAGUCUUGAAUGUGCUCAUAUAAUUCAGCUCAAUGGCUGGCUAAUUGUUAAUGCGUUUACAGAUCCCCCAUCUGCAUAAAACCUGAUAGCGGAGCAACAAAACCAGCUGCUCAUAUUUCAGCAUCGAUAGUGCAUGCUUUUAGGCUAUUUGUGUCUGUCUCAGUUGGUGCUAACAUCUUGGAGGUCACGUGAAAGAGCGUUUUAUAUUGAAUUGCACAAUGCCUUGGGUAUGUGGUUUACUUGCUUUUACAGUUUGCAACGGGUAGCUUCACUAGCUUGGUAAGGCUCUGAGAUUAAACAGUUAGGUGCUAACGGUCAAAAGUAAAGGCGGGAAGAUGGAUGGGUUGGGUAACAAGCUGAUAUAAAACACAACCUAAAUCAAAUCAAUCAUAACUAAACCCAUUUUUUGGCAUAUCACAUAAACACGGUUUUCUAAAUGCUUACUAAACCCAUUUUUGGCAUAUCAUGAUCAAUAUUCAGUCAACUCUUUCUAAAUCCUCAAUCCUUGCAUACUCAUCAUCUUGCUCUGAAUAUUGGAAACAAAUAGUGAAACCGGUUGGAUUGAUUUAAUCAAGCAUAUAUUUAUAUAUCUGAUUAGGAUAAUAUAGGAAAAUCUGUAUAAUACUAUAAUACCAACUGAUAUUACCGACCAUGGUACGUGUAUCAGAUACUAGAUGUAUAGGUAUAGAUCAUUUUGUAAUUGCUUGAGAUGGACAGUACAGUGGUUUUUGUCAUCAUUUAGGUUAAAGUUGAGAUAUUUUGAAUCACAAUAAGCACUGCAGUUUUUUAGAUCCUUUAAUAUGUUUUGCCUUAUUGACAUGCUUUACUCGAUGCGUCAGGGGUUAUUGUAAAUCUACAUGUUUUGCAGGUGAAUUAGGGGUGUCAAGUUCCUCGUCAACACAGAUAAUUGAUGAUGAUGAUGUGCCUGCACUGCAAACCUUCAAAUCGGCUCUCAGGGACCUAAAUCGGGUCAAUUUGAAUACAAUUCAUUAAGUCCCAACAGUGAACACACUUGCUGAACUUUUAGAGUGCGGUAGCGGUAGGAAACGUAAUUUGUUCCCUGACGAAGAGACGAUUCUGUUAAAAAGUACAAUUGAGAUUGUUGAUGUUUGAACAAGGAAUGAGUGGUACCUGAUCACAUGCAGAGUGGCCUGUGUGGGAAGGGCCUAACUAGGGAUGAUAGUGGGUUCUGGUGUGCAGAAUGUAACACAGCUAUGACAUAUCAGCGUAUCAGGUUUGAGAUUAAACUGGAUAUCAGGGAUGAAAGUGCAUCUACAGUUGUUUUAUUUGAUGAUCCCGGGGAAAGGUUGCUUAGCCGAACAGCAAAGUCGUUAUUGGAUGAAGAGUUGCAGAGGAUGACUAAGGUAUGAUGUUAUGCCACCUGUUUUUCUGAAUCUGAUUGGUAGCAAACACGUGUUUGAGAUCAAGGGACACAACUACACCAUUGCCCUUAUGUACAACUGCUUGGUACAUGUGGGCAUAUGUAGACUCUAAUUAGAUCAAAGAGCACAGUUUUGAUAUAUGAGGUGGUUACAUUCAAUGCCAGAAUUCCCUUGGCUACUGACAAGGUUGCUUCUUCAUGUAACGAAUGCAAUAGCAAAAACAAUGGGUUUUAUUGGAGAAUGUUACUUUUUGUA